GAUGAACGCUGGCGGCGUGCCUAAUACAUGCAAGUCGAGCGAACAGACGAGGAGCUUGCUCCUUUGAUGUUAGCGGCGGACGGGUGAGUAACACGUAGGUAACCUACCUAUAAGACUGGGAUAACUUCGGGAAACCGGAGCUAAUACCGGAUAAUAUUUCGAACCGCAUGGUUCGAUAGUGAAAGAUGGCUUUGCUAUCACUUAUAGAUGGACCUGCGCCGUAUUAGCUAGUUGGUAAGGUAACGGCUUACCAAGGCAACGAUACGUAGCCGACCUGAGAGGGGGAUCGGCCACACUGGAACUGAGACACGGUCCAGACUCCUACGGGAGGCAGCAGUAGGGAAUCUUCCGCAAUGGGCGAAAGCCUGACGGAGCAAAGCCGCGUGAGGGAUGAAGGUCUUCGGAUCGUAAAACUCUGUUAUUAGGGAAGAACAAACGUGUAAGUAACUGUGCACGUCUUGACGGUACCUAAUCAGAAAGCCACGGCUAACUACGUG
rnacentral:rRNA from 1 species